CCCCGGGGCAGCCCCCAUGCACGCCUGCGCCCGGCGCCACAGGAGCUACUGUGUAUAGGCAAAAGAAGUUUCCUCCAGAGACAGGAAUACCAACCUCUGCUGAAGAUUUGCAGGCCCUCUUCUA
rnacentral:lncRNA from 1 species